AUGCCUCCAGUUGGUCAUCACAGGAUGAGUCGCUCAUUUUAUUUAUGAAAAUAAUAAAACUCUGCUGUAAAGUAUACAAAGACACUUCUUCAGUUCUUUAUUCAUAGAAAAUAAAGGCUUGUAAGUUCCCUCAUAUUAUAUUAUAUUAUAUUAUAUUAUAUUUCAGGUCUGCUGAGCUCCAGUGUGAAUGAUUAGUGUGAUUAGUGAAUGAAAGAUGCACAAAAAAAAAAAUUCUACUUUUAAAAUGUUAUUUUUACAGCAGUGAAAAAUAUAAUUACAUGUUUUCCUGUAAAACAUAAAAAAUCAUCUUCAGCACAAAAUUCAUGAUCGUGACAGGCCUAAUGUUGUUCAAUUAGUUUUCUAUGCAAUACAGCACUGCACACAAGCAGGUCAUGUCAAGCACCCAAAAGCAUUUCAAGCAUUUCUGCUGAACAGGAAAUGAUCCUCCUGCACUACAGACUGCCAUUGUAUUCUAAUACUGACAUGAGCGACAAACACGAAUCAGAGCACUACAGCAGGUGAAGAGGUUUCUGAGCAAGCUGAUUGGCUGAUUGAGUUAUCGGCUGUGAUUAAUGAUCACUCCAGCUGCGGGCGUACAGCAGAAACCCCGUCCAGAAAUGCCUCAGAGAGGAAGGAGAUUUGUGGAGGGGGGCAUGAGGAGCCUUGCUGGGCUGCAGAGGAGGCAGAUUGAUUGACAGACACUGAUACAGGGCUGGGUGAGUGAUGGGUGUUCCUAGUCAGGUCUCUGAUGUGACAACAAAAAGGCUCAAUCCUUAAUUUCUUUUAGAAGUAUUUUAUUAUACAAAUGUAUGUGCUUAUCUCAUAUUCUUGACUUGAGAGUGAAUCAGAACACUUCAGAUUAUGGUUUGAUUUUGGUUUCAGUGAUUCACGAAACCCACCCUCACCCAGCAUCCUAGUGGUGAGUCUGAUCUGACCAAGCACACGCGCGCACACACACACACACACACACACGCACGCACGCAGGUUUGUUUUUGUGA